UAGGGAAUCUUCCACAAUGGACGCAAGUCUGAUGGAGCAACGCCGCGUGAGUGAAGAAGGUUUUCGGAUCGUAAAGCUCUGUUGUUGGUGAAGAAGGAUAGAGGCAGUAACUGGUCUUUAUUUGACGGUAAUCAACCAGAAAGUCACGGCUAACUACGUGCCAGCAGCCGCGGUAAUACGUAGGUGGCAAGCGUUGUCCGGAUUUAUUGGGCGUAAAGCGAGCGCAGGCGGAAUGAUAAGUCUGAUGUGAAAGCCCACGGCUCAACCGUGGAACUGCAUCGGAAACUGUCAUUCUUGAGUGCAGAAGAGGAGAGUGGAACUCCAUGUGUAGCGGUGGAAUGCGUAGAUAUAUGGAGGAACACCAGUGGCGAAGGCGGCUCUCUGGUCUGCAACUGACGCUGAGGCUCGAAAGCAUGGGUAGCGAACAGGAUUAGAUACCCUGGUAGUCCAUGCCGUAAACGAUGAGCGCUAGGUGUUGGGGACUUUCCGGUUCUCAGUGCCGCAGCAAACGCAUUAAGCGCUCCGCCUGGGGAGUACGACCGCAAGGUUGAAAC
rnacentral:rRNA from 1 species